ACUCCUACGGGAGGCAGCAGUGGGGAAUAUUGGACAAUGGGCGCAAGCCUGAUCCAGCCAUGCCGCGUGAGUGAUGAAGGCCCUAGGGUUGUAAAGCUCUUUCACCGGUGAAGAUAAUGACGGUAACCGGAGAAGAAGCCCCGGCUAACUUCGUGCCAGCAGCCGCGGUAAUACGAAGGGGGCUAGCGUUGUUCGGAUUUACUGGGCGUAAAGCGCACGUAGGCGGACUAUUAAGUCAGGGGUGAAAUCCCGGGGCUCAACCCCGGAACUGCCUUUGAUACUGGUAGUCUUGAGUUCGAGAGAGGUGAGUGGAAUUCCGAGUGUAGAGGUGAAAUUCGUAGAGAUUCGGAGGAACACCAGUGGCGAAGGCGGCUCACUGGCUCGAUACUGACGCUGAGGUGCGAAAGCGUGGGGAGCAAACAGGAUUAGAAACCCCGGUAGUCCCA
rnacentral:rRNA from 1 species